GAGCCAAGAACCAUGGCGAGUAGUGAAUGGGAAGUCCUCCCAAUUGGCAGAAUUGGGGUAUCAUUAAAUAAUAUUUUUCACUAUCAGCGUAGGCCUGGCUGGGUUUCAGAAUUGCUAUGCAGCGCUUUGUAUCUCACAGUCUUUCCCCUUACUUAAUGAGGAUGCUGUUGUUGUUAUCCUAUCCCUCUCCCACCAUUGUAUAAUGGGUGUAUAAGAGAUAGAUAAUUUUUAUUUACACUUACAGGUCUGCAGACUAAGAGGAGCCAUGCCCAGACAUGAUAAAAAGAUUAUGGAGCACCACUCACAGAUCCUGGACUCAACAAUGGAUGCAGUCACUGGAUGGAACUUUUGGCCAUUAAUUGAGUGCCUACCAUAUAGACACUGGGACCACAAUGAAGAAGAUAACCACUGAUCCUGUGGAACUUUUAGCUAAUGGAAAUCAAUUCCUGAGUAUCCAUGUAAUAUUGGAUGCUCAGCAUUAUUUAUCGGGACUCAUUAAUUGAUAUUUCAUAGGAAUUUAAGAAUGUUUUCUCAAGGAAAAGCUCAUUAUUCUGAUUGAAUUCAAGAAAAUAUUUCUUACUGAGUUUAGUGAUAUAAAACCACAUGAAACUAACAGUAUCUGAUUAAGACCAAUAGCCAAGUUCAUUUUUAAUGUCUUUAUCCUACAAAUCAACAAAACUUGUCAGUGAAAAGAGGAAUAUUGAUCAAUCACUUGAAUGUUUCAUUAAAUCCAAAUCUUUUGUAUAACAGUGAAAAAGUAUUUAAUGUUUGGAUGGUUUAAUUUAUCUUCAUCUGUAUGGGCUUUUUCUGUUAUUUGGGCCACUAAUGUGUUUUAGUUUAGUUUUUUGGUUUUGGGUGUUUUCUGUCUUUUUUUUUUUUUUUUUUUUUUUUGGUAAAGUCAUUGUGUUCUCUCUUGGUCUUCUGCUUUCAACUAUCAGGUUGCCAAUUCAAUUACUCACAAAUCUCUCUGAAAAAUAUUUUGAAA
rnacentral:lncRNA from 1 species